rnacentral:rRNA from 1 species
AGUGAACGCUGGCGGUAGGCCUAACACAUGCAAGUCGAACGGCAGCACAGUAAGUGCUUGCUCUUACGGGUGGCGAGUGGCGUACGGGUGAGGAAUACAUCGUAAUCUACUUUUUCGUGGGGGAUAACGUAGGGAAACUUACUCUAAUACCGCAUACGACCUACGGGUGAAAGCAUGGGAUCUUCGGACCUUGCGCGAUUGAAUUAGCCGAUGUCGGAUUAGCUAGUUGGCGGGGUAAAUGCCCACCAUGGCGACGAUCCGUAGCUGGUCUGAGAGGAUGAUCAGCCACACUGGAACUGAGACACGGUCCAGACUACUACGGGAGGGCGCAGUGGGGAAUAUUGGACAGUGGGCGCAAGCCUGAUCCAGCCAUACCGAGUGGGUGAAGAAGGCCUUCGGGUUGUAAAGACCUUUUGUUGGGAAAGAAAAGCAGCAGCUUAAUACCCCGCUGUUCUGACGGUACCCAAAGAAUAAGCACCGGCUAACUUCGUG